rnacentral:rRNA from 1 species
CCUACGGGAGGCACCAGUGGGGAAUUUUGGACAAUGGGCGAAAGCCUGAUCCAGCAAUGCCGCGUGCAGGAUGAAGGCCCUCGGGUUGUAAACUGCUUUUGUACGGAACGAAAAGACUCUCUCUAAUAAAGAGGGUUGAUGACGGUACCGUAAGAAUAAGCACCGGCUAACUACGUGCCAGCAGCCGCGGUAAUACGUAGGGUGCGAGCGUUAAUCGGAAUUACUGGGCGUAAAGCGUGCGCAGGCGGUUAUGUAAGACAGAGGUGAAAUCCCCGGGCUCAACCUGGGAACGGCCUUUGUGACUGCAUGGCUAGAGUGCGGCAGAGGGGGAUGGAAUUCCGCGUGUAGCAGUGAAAUGCGUAGAUAUGCGGAGGAACACCGAUGGCGAAGGCAAUCCCCUGGGCCUGCACUGACGCUCAUGCACGAAAGCGUGGGGAGCAAACAGGAUUAGAUACCCGUGUAGUC